GUAACUUUCAACAACGGAUCUCUGGGUUCUCGCAUCGAUGAACACCGCAUCU
rnacentral:rRNA from 1 species